rnacentral:lncRNA from 1 species
UGCUGGGGAUCGUAAUGGCGACAUUUUUAACGUUCCGUUGCAUGCCACCGCGAUUUUCUGCCAGCCACGGCAAGCUAAGCAAGGGGAAGCGGACCAAUCCUUGACGCCGGCACCACCCUCCUCAUCCGGUUAUC